rnacentral:misc_RNA from 1 species
CAACCCUCACAAGCCCCCCGCGGGCUGGUGGUGUUGGGGAUCGGCCUCUGCCCUGCGAGUCGGGGCAGGGCCGUCCCCCAAAUCUAGUGGCGGACCCGCCGUGGCCUCCUCUGCGAAGUAGCGAUAUUUCCGCACGUGGAGAGCGGCGAGCCCCUGCCGUGAAACCCCAACUUCUCUCAGG